rnacentral:rRNA from 1 species
CGCAUAUAUCUUUUAUGAUAUGUGUUUAUUAGCUAUCAUACUUCCAAGAAAAGCUCGAACUACUGUUAAACAUAAAAUACCUGUACCGUAAACCGACACAGGUAGGUUAGUAGAGUAUACUAAGGGGCGCGAGAUAACUCUCUCUAAGGAACUCGGCAAAAUGACCCCGUAACUUCGGGAGAAGGGGUGCCCUCUCUAAAGGAGGGCCGCAGUGACCAGGCCCUGGCGACUGUUUAUCAAAAACAUAGGUCUCCGCAAAGUCGUAAGACAACAUAUGGGGGCUGACGCCUGCCCAGUGCCGGAAGGUUAAGGAAGUAGGUUAAGAUUUAUCUGAAGCUUACGACCGAAGCCCCGGUGAACGGCGGCCGUAACAAUAACGGUCCUAAGGUAGCGAAAUUCCUUGUCGGGUAAGUUCCGACCCGCACGAAAGGCGUAACGAUCAGGGCACUGUCUCGGAGAGAGACUCGGUGAAAUAGACAUGUCUGUGAAGAUGCGGACUACUUGCACUUGGACAGAAAGACCCUAUGAAGCUUGACUGUAGCUUGGAAUUGGGUUCGGGCUUUUCUUGCGCAGACUAGGUGGGAGGCAAAGAAGAAAUACUUUCGGGUAUUUUGGAGCCAUCAGUGAGAGACCACUCUGGAGAAGCUAGAAUUCUAAUGGCGUUCCUUGAAGCAGGACGCUUGACAGUUUCAGGUGGGCAGUUUGACUGGGGCGGUCACCUCCUAAAAGGUAACGGAGGUGUGCAAAGGUUCCCUCAGGCUGGACGGAAAUCAGCCGUAGAGUGUAAAGGCAGAAGGGAGCUUGACUGCAAGACCUACAAGUCGAGCAGGGGCGAAAGCCGGCCUUAGUGAUCCGACGGUUCCGUGUGGAAGGGCCGUCGCUAAACGGAUAAAAUUUACUCUAGGAUAACAGGCUGAUCUUCCCCAAGAGUUCACAUCGACGGGAAGGUUUGGCACCUCGAUGUCGGCUCAUCGCAACCUGGGGCGGUAGUACGUCCCAAGGGUUGGGCUGUUCGCCCAUGAAAGCGGUACGUGAGCUGGGUUCAGAACGUCGUGAGACAGUUCGGUCCAUAUCCGGUGUAAGCGUUGGAGCAUUGAGAGGAGUCUUCCAUAGUACGAGAGGACCUGGAAGAACACACCUCUGGUAUACCAGUUAUCACGCCAGUGGUAAACGCUGGGUAGCCAAGUGUGGAGAGGAUAACCGCUGAAAGCAUCUAAGUGGGAAGCCCACCUCAAGAUGAGUGCUCCCUAUGAGGUCACGGCAAGACCAGCCGGUUGAUAGGCAGUAGGUGUACGCCUAGUAAUAGGUUUAGCUGAGCUGUACUAAUAGACCC